UGGGGAAUUUUGGACAAUGGGCGAAAGCCUGAUCCAGCAAUGCCGCGUGUGUGAAGAAGGCCUUCGGGUUGUAAAGCACUUUUGUCCGGAAAGAAAUCCUUGGCUCUAAUACAGUCGGGGGAUGACGGUACCGGAAGAAUAAGCACCGGCUAACUACGUGCCAGCAGCCGCGGUAAUACGUAGGGUGCAAGCGUUAAUCGGAAUUACUGGGCGUAAAGCGUGCGCAGGCGGUUUGCUAAGACCGAUGUGAAAUCCCCGGGCUCAACCUGGGAACUGCAUUGGUGACUGGCAGGCUAGAGUAUGGCAGAGGGGGGUAGAAUUCCACGCGUAGCAGUGAAAUGCGUAGAGAUGUGGAGGAAUACCGAUGGCGAAGGCAGCCCCCUGGGCCAAUACUGACGCUCAUGCACGAAAGCGUGGGGAGCAAACAGGAUUAGAUACCCUGGUAGUCCACGCCCUAAACGAUGUCAACUAGUUGUUGGGGAUUCAUUUCCUUAGUAACGUAGCUAACGCGUGAAGUUGACCGCCUGGGGAGUACGGUCGCAAGAUU
rnacentral:rRNA from 1 species